UUACAAUGGAGAGUUUGAUCCUGGCUCAGGAUGAACGCUAGCGGCAGGCCUAAUACAUGCAAGUCGGACGGGAUAGAAGAGCUUGCUUUUCUUGAGAGUGGCGCACGGGUGCGUAACACGUAUGUAACCUACCUUAGUCAGGGGGAUAGCCUCUCGAAAGAGAGAUUAAGACCGCAU
rnacentral:rRNA from 1 species